rnacentral:misc_RNA from 1 species
UCCUGCAGUGAAACAAAGCAUUCAUAACUCAAAAACACUUAAAAUAAUUACAAUAAGAGGAGGGAAAACCAGAAAAGAUAAAGGAAAACACGUAUUUUAAAAAUCAGAGAGGAGAUAUUUAUGAUAGACUUGUCUUUUUUCUUUGGCUUAAUACAUAAAUUUGCCCAUGAACCAAUCAGGACCAUCCUUUUACGCAUAAUCUUUUAUUUCAACUAAUUGCACCUGUAUAUUUUUAUAUUUGUCCUAUUGGACCAUUAAGUUUUUCAAUUUUUUUUAACCAACGGACAGCAUACCACUACAUAGAGCUGUGAACUUGGGAGUUUUAGCAUAAGAUAUUCAAGGUCCUUUUAGAGAUCCAAAAACAUAUAGAUAAGAGUUUCCC